CCAUCUUCCUGGAUGUGAGACACCCGUGGUCAUGAAAUCGGGGUUUCGCGGACGAGUCUAAGUCAUUGCACUUUUGACUCGGUUGCCUCAUGUGGCUGUCCCGAGUUGGAACAAGUCAAUGGCGAAAUUUUGGGAAGGGAUGCGUUCGUACAUCCCUAU
rnacentral:snRNA from 15 species